GACGAACGCUGGCGGCGUGCCUAAUACAUGCAAGUCGAGCGAGUCUGCCUUGAAGAUCGGAGUGCUUGCACUCUGUGAAACAAGAUACAGGCUAGCGGCGGACGGGUGAGUAACACGUGGGUAACCUGCCCAAGAGAUCGGGAUAACACCUGGAAACAGAUGCUAAUACCGGAUAACAACAGAUGAUGCCUAUCAACUGUUUAAAGGAUGGUUCUGCUAUCACCCUUGGAUGGACCUGCGGUGCAUUAGCUAGUUGGUAGGGUAACGGCCUACCAAGGCGAUGAUGCAUAGCCGAGUUGCGAGACUGAUCGGCCACAUUGGGACUGAGACACGGCCCAAACUCCUACGGGAGGCAGCAGUAGGGAAUCUUCCACAAUGGACGCAAGUCUGAUGGAGCAACGCCGCGUGAGUGAAGAAGGGUUUCGGCUCGUAAAGCUCUGUUGUUGGUGAAGAAGGACAGGGGUAGUAACUGACCUUUGUUUGACGGUAAUCAAUUAGAAAGUCACGGCUAACUACGUG
rnacentral:rRNA from 1 species